AUUAGUCCAUGAGAAAUCAAAGCCUCACACGCUUUGGUCUCUCGGCGCACACGUCGCCACGCUUCUCUGUGUGCGCACGUCGCCACGCUUCUCUGGGCGCGCACGUCGCCACGCUUCUCUGGGCGCGCACGUCGCCACGCUUCUCUGGGCGCGCACGUCGCCACGCUUCUCUGGGCGAACACGUUCCAGCAGUUUUUCUCUGGGCGUGCACGUAGCCAUUACAGUUUCCGUCACAGCAUAUGCUGCAGCCUUCAAUGCAGUGGCCCAUCGUGUCUUGACCGAGAUUUAUUCCACCAGUCAAUGCGAUAACAGCUCGUGGUUCAACAUGACCGGGGUGCAUGUCUCAUUCUAGUACUCGAGCAAACUAAGAAUAGUUCUUGCCACAAACUCGAAGCAAACAGGGUGAUCCAUUCUAUCCUCACCUAACAAUUGAUGAUAGUGGGUCCCACCCGCUUGAGCCCAUGUCCCCACAAAUGAUAAAGGUUGAGCUAGUCUUGGGGCACCUGCGUUAACAUUUGAUAGAUAUACUGCCCCACUCAAACUUCACGCCAAAUAAUGAGCGGCAUGCCGACUCGUCGGCGCACGCUUCUCUGGGCGCACACGUCGCCACCUCGGUUGGGUGGGUGGAGCGGCCCAAAAAUGUUUGGGCGCGCCCCCACACACACGCCGUCGUCCAACGGGCGUGUUUCGCCUUGUAGUAGGUGACCUUGACCAAGCAUCCGUUACCCAGCGCAUAGCAGGUCUACUAGCAACACAAUAAAUGCGGAAAAGAGAGGCCUGGGGUGAAAUUGCUGCCUCAUUCAACGCCAGCAACUCUGACCAACUCCCUCGCACAGCCAAGCAGCUCAAGAGGAGCUACGGACACUUAAAAAGGAAAUAUGACUGUAGCCUACAGUAUUUAAGGCCUACUUCAAAAAAUGUUUUGUUUGUUUGUUUUCGAUCUACUGAU